rnacentral:rRNA from 1 species
UGAACGCUAGCGGCAGGCUUAACACAUGCAAGUCGAGGGGUAACAGUGAUUGCUUGCAAUCAGCUGACGACCGGCGCACGGGUGCGUUACGCGUAUGCAACCUACCUUAUACAGGAGAAUAGCCCGGAGAAAUUCGGAUUAAUGCUCCAUAAUAUGAUUAUAUCGCAUGAUAUAAUGAUUAAAGCUCCGGCGGUAUAAGAUGGGCAUGCGUGUCAUUAGCUGGUUGGUGAGGUAACGGCUCACCAAGGCUAUGAUGACUAGGGGUCCUGAGAGGGAGAUCCCCCACACUGGUACUGAGACACGGACCAGACUCCUACGGGAGGCAGCAGUGAGGAAUAUUGGACAAUGGGCGCAAGCCUGAUCCAGCCAUGCCGCGUGAAGGAAGACGGCCUUAUGGGUUGUAAACUUCUUUUGUAAGGGAAGAAUGACUGUAUCGAGUAUACGGGCGCGACGGUACCUUACGAAUAAGCACCGGCUAACUCCGUGCCAGCAGCCGCGGUAAUACGGAGGGUGCAAGCGUUAUCCGGAAUUAUUGGGUUUAAAGGGUCCGUAGGCGGCUAGAUAAGUCAGUGGUGAAAUUCUAUGGCUCAACCAUAGACCUGCCAUUGAUACUGUUUUGGCUAGAGUUACAUUGAGGUAAGUGGAAUGUGUGGUGUAGCGGUGAAAUGCAUAGAUAUCACACAGAACACCGAUUGCGAAGGCAUCUUACUAAAUGUAUACUGACGCUGAUGGACGAAAGCGUGGGGAGCGAACAGGAUUAGAUACCCUGGUAGUCCACGCCGUAAACGAUGGAUACUAGUUGUUGGGCAAAUUAGCUCAGUGGCCAAGCGAAAGUGAUAAGUAUCCCACCUGGGGAGUACGCUCGCAAGAGUGAAACCCAAAGGAAUUGACGGGGGCCCGCACAAGCGGUGGAGCAUGUGGUUUAAUUCGAUGAUACGCGAGGAACCUUACCAAGGCUUAAAUGCAAGAUGACCAUUUGAGAGAUCAGAUUUCCCUUCGGGGCAUUUUGCAAGGUGCUGCAUGGUUGUCGUCAGCUCGUGCUGUGAAGUGUCAGGUUAAGUCCUAUAACGAGCGCAACCCCUAUCAUUAGUUGCCAUCGAGUUAAGUCGGGCACUCUAAUGAGACUGCCGGCGUAAGCCGUGAGGAAGGUGGGGAUGACGUCAAAUCAUCACGGCCCUUAUGUCUUGGGCUACACACGUGCUACAAUGGUCGGUACAGAGGGCAGCGAUCCGGUGACGGUGAGCGAAUCCUCAAAGCCGAUCCCAGUUCGGAUCGGAGUCUGCAACUCGACUCCGUGAAGUUGGAAUCGCUAGUAAUCGCGCAUCAGCCAUGGCGCGGUGAAUACGUUCCCGGGCCUUGUACACACCGCCCGUCAAGCCAUGGAAGCUGGGGGCGCCUGAAGUUCGUGAUCCUUUUAAGGAAGCGACCUAGGGUGAAACUGGUAACUGGGC